GAUGAAGAACGCAGCGAAAUGCGAUAAGUAAUGUGAAUUGCAGAAUUCAGUGAAUCAUCGAAUCUUUGAACGCACAUUGCGCCCGCUAGUAUUCUGGCGGGCAUGCCUGUUCGAGCGUCAUUUCAACCAUCAAGCCCUUUAGCUUGUGAUGGGGACCUGCGGCUGCCGCAGCCCCCGAAAUGCAGUGGCGGGCUCGUUGUCACACCGAGUGCAGUAAUCAUUCUUCUCUCCGGGCGUGGCGGCGGGUUCCGGCCGUAAAAUCACCAAUUUAUCAAGGUUGACCUCGGAUCAGGUAGGAAUACCCGCUGAACUUAAGCAUAUCAAUAAGCGGAGGA
rnacentral:misc_RNA from 1 species